rnacentral:rRNA from 1 species
UACGUAGGGUGCAAGCGUUGUCCGGAAUUAUUGGGCGUAAAGAGCUCGUAGGCGGUCUGUCACGUCGGCUGUGAAAACCCGAGGCUCAACCUCGGGCCUGCAGUCGAUACGGGCAAACUAGAGUACUGCAGGGGAGACUGGAAUUCCUGGUGUAGCGGUGAAAUGCGCAGAUAUCAGGAGGAACACCGGUGGCGAAGGCGGGUCUCUGGGCAGUAACUGACGCUGAGGAGCGAAAGCGUGGGGAGCGAACAGG